UGCGUAGGUGGUGAGGUAAGUCGGAUGUGAAAUCUCGGAGCUCAACUCCGAAAUGGCAUUGGAAACUACCUCGCUGGAGGAAUGGAGGGGGGACUGGAAUUCUCGGUGUAGCAGUGAAAUGCGUAGAUAUCGAGAGGAACACCAGUGGCGAAGGCGAGUCCCUGGACAUCUCCUGACACUGAGGCACGAAAGCUAGGGGAGCAAACA
rnacentral:rRNA from 1 species